AUUCCCCCCCCCCAUCUUGACCGCCCCCUGCCUUCGCUGCCAAGCACGGACUCCGCCUGCUCCAGCCGACCCGGUACCAGUGGUUGGAUCCAAGAGAAUUCCGGAACCCAAACGGUAAUAGGCACGCUUGGGUGAUUCUUGCCCCCUACUGGUGGCGCGUCCCACUGGCCUUGAGCUGAAAGAAACACUUGGAGUUGAAGGUGUGAGCUCUUCAAGAGGGAAAACGGGGAGGAAAAAAAAAUAGUCGUGUUAAGAAGAUUAUGAACCUUCCAACUCGGCCUCUGUAUACAUAAGCUCCAGGGAACUCAGAAGCCUGCUAUGCACAGAGCUGCUCUGGUUGGAUGUGCAUUCUAGAAGGAUCACUCUGGAAGCGGUGUAGCAGAUGGAUCUAAGAACUGGACUGCAGGUCUGAGGAAAAGACAGAUUAAAAGAAGAUAAGAACAGAAACCGAAAUGGAGCAAAAUUGUCGAGCAAAAGAAGAGGGCCAGGUUCAAGAAAUAUUUAGGAGGAAAAGCCAGCAACGUGUAGUGGCUGGUGGGGAGGGAGGAGUCUUAAAUGAAGCCUCAGUUUCUCCCUUGGAUACUUACGUAGGUAAUAGUGCUAUACCUGAAACUGUGACUUUAGGAAGGCAAACAGAUGUGAAGAGGAAGACAAUGAGUUUAGCUUUAGGUAAUGUGGAAAGUUUUGUUUAUCUAUUGGUAUGUGAUAAACAACCCCCAAACCUGAUCACUUUUAACACAACCACCAUUUUGUUACUUCUCAUGAUUCUGUAAGCUGGACUGGGCUCAGCUGGACAGUUCUGCUGGUCUUGCUAAGAGUCACUUGUGUGACUAUAACUGUGUGUGCUCAGCUUGGAUGCUGGGACAGCUGUAUUUCUCUCUCUCCAUGUGGCCUGUCGAGUUGCCUCAUGGUUCUUACCUGGUGGCUUUAGGGUCCCAAGAACCCAAAAGCAGAAGCUUCUAACCUCUCUUGAAUUUUAGCCUUGCAACUGACACAGUGAUGUUUCUACCACAUUCCUUCAAUUAACAAGGCCGCACAAGACUCAGGGAAAGACAACACAAGAGUGUGAAUGGAGGGGGUGCACCUGGCUGGCUCAGGUCAGUAGAGCACGCAAUUCCUGAUCUUGGAGUUGGGAGUUCAAGCCCCAUGUUGGAUAUAGAGAAUCCUUAAAAAUAAAAUGAUCUUUAAGUAAGAAAA